GGAUUAGAUACCCUGGUAGUCCACGCUGUAAACGAUGUCUACUUGGAGGUUGGUGUCUUGAAUACUGGCUUUCGAAGCUAACGCGUUAAGUAGACCGCCUGGGGAGUACGGUCGCAAGAUUAAAACUCAAAUGAAUUGACGGGGGCCCGCACAAGCGGUGGAGCAUGUGGUUUAAUUCGAUGCAACGCGAAGAACCUUACCUACUCUUGACAUCCAGAGAAGCUUGCAGAGAUGCGAGUGUGCCUUCGGGAACUCUGAGACAGGUGCUGCAUGGCUGUCGUCAGCUCGUGCCG
rnacentral:rRNA from 1 species